AUUGGGCUUAAUUAUUAUUAGUGUUUUAUUUUAUGUAUUUUUUUUAUGUUGAAGAGCUAAAUUCCGUGGGAGUAACAGAACACGUCGCAUGAUUCCUUUUUCAUGCAUACAUUUUCAUCCCCUUUCCUCUAGGUUUUCCGUUUACUAUUUAUAUCUCCUAUUUAUACAUACUUAUACGGUCAUCAUCUCAACCCUAGUUUAUUUGCCGCUGCUCUUCCUCUUCACGCUCUUAGCCUUCCAUACUCAUCUAAACCUCCACCCCCAACCUCAGUGCAAACCACAACCUCUUCUUAGAACAACACCAAAUCGUAAGGCUUGGUUUGCUUCCAGUAAAACUGCCACCCGCAAAACCUAUUCACGUGCCGCAACUCCACCAAACCUAGUCCACGCCGGUGCCCAGCCACACGAAGUCCACCCCUCAAGCCGUGCACCACCACCCUCUCCGUGUAAUCUUUACCUUGGUUGCACCACCGAAAGGCAGAGCUCCAGCCAGCUAACGGGUGGCCACUUUCCCCCGGACCUAGCCCACGCGGAAGCUCAGCCCCGUAGCCGCCUCCCAAUGCAUUCGUAGCCUCCAUUACAAGCUCCGAAAAUCCUCUGUUUUAGUUGUCUAAAACAGAGCAGCGUCCAAGCUGCUGCAGUCACGCUCCAUCGAGAGCUCCACCGCGCGUGCCCACAGAAACUGUCGGCGAGGACCUUCCAUCACCUUGGUCCGCCACACGCCGCCUCAGUUUUUCCCACUCUAGUGACCAAGCGCCACCCUCGUUCGCCUUAGCCAGCCCCCAGCUCCACGCCGUCGUGCUCCCCCACCUCUCCGUGACGAUUAAUUUUGUUCGGCAUUGUUGAGGAAAUUUUCGAAAAGCUAAGAAGUCCAGAUGAUUUGAAUGUUUCAGUUGAGGAUCAAGGAUAUGGAGCAUGGGUGAGAAGAGUUAGAAUGAUGGUUUAAGCAUAGAAGAUUUAUAUGGGUAUUGAAAGUUUUCAUCCAGUAAGCUUGUUGGGUUCUGAUGUUGUGAUUUGUUGGGAGAUUGAUGUUUAUAUUAAGACUUUGUAUUGUCUUAGAAUAGUUAUUCUGGAGUAAGUGAUGUAAAUAUAUGAGUAUUUUGUGCGAUAGAGAAAAAUUAGAGUAUGUACUAUGUGGAAGAAAAAUGAUUUUUAAGUGA